GCCUGCUUCUUAAACACCUCCAGGAAUCUGCUCAAAUGUCCUCCCUGACCUUAUUUUUCUCCAUGGAACAUAUCACCUCCGGACACUGUGCAUAUUUUACUUAAUUUUCUCUGUGUCCCCCACCUGGCUGUCUGCUGCAUGAGAAUGGAGACCUGCCUGCUUCACUACCUGCUGUGCCCGGUAUCUGGAACCCGCCCAACACACAGUAGGACGUCAGCGAAUGUGUGACGGGUGUGUGAUCACUGUAGGCCACAGACAAAAGUCUUCCCAGCAGUGAUGAAACCCUGUGACAGAUCCUGUCCACAGCACCCUGCUCCUCCAAUCCUGACCCCAGGCUUUCCCAUGGUGUGUGACCCUGCAUGGGGUGCAGUCCCCUCCUCCAGUCUGGUUUUCUGAGGAAUCAGACUGUCUUUGGAAGUGACAGACCACUCUUCGGAAAUUGUCCUGUGCCAAGGGCUGGACGACAGGAAUCUUGGAGCUGUUCUUGGAGCAG